AACACUUUCACCAGACAGCAAACAGGAGGAGCGAGGCCACUGUCACAUGCGUCAGCAAGCUCACUCUUUUACCGACACGUUCUUGAAUUCAGAAUGAACACUACAUUAUGAUGUUGUAAGUGACUGGUCUCAGUGGGACUCCGGCAAAGCAUUGCUAUUCAGGAAUGUAAUACGGCAAAGGAACCCUCAAAAAAUUAUCCCAAACAGUCCACACACGGCUCAGACUUAGACUGGGCUUAAAGUCUUUUCCACCCUGGUUUUGCCAGGAAAUGUAGUGGCAUGGAUCCACGCAGGCAAUUGGGCUCUGACCACUGACGGACAGCAGCCAAGUAAAAUACCAGUAAAGAGAAUGACGGUCGGAGGACCUCAAUUAAAUGGGUUUGCUCAUGUGCAGCACUUGCCAAAAGGACUCAAGCUAUAAUUUGAAUUAUUAUUAUUUUUUUUUCAUUCAUAGUGAUGGACAAAGCCACAAAGCAUGGGGAAAGUACGGUGAAAGUCUGAAUGGUGCCAGAUGGGUGAGA